rnacentral:rRNA from 1 species
GUGAGGAAUAUUGGUCAAUGGGCGCAAGCCUGAACCAGCCAUCCCGCGUGCAGGAAGACGGCGCUAUGCGUUGUAAACUGCUUUUCCAGGGAGAGAAACUUGCGCACGUGUUGCGCAAUUGACGGUACCCUGGGAAUAAGCAUCGGCUAACUCCGUGCCAGCAGCCGCGGUAAUACGGAGGAUGCGAGCGUUAUCCGGCUUCAUUGGGUUUAAAGGGUGCGUAGGCGGACUAUUAAGUCAGUGGUGAAAUCCUGCAGCUUAACGGCAGAACUGCCAUUGAUACUGAUAGCCUUGAGUUUGGUUAAGGUAGGCGGAAUGUGUAAUGUAGCGGUGAAAUGCUUAGAUAUUACACAGAACACCAAUUGCGUAGGCAGCUUACUGAGCCGACACUGACGCUGAGGCACGAAAGCGUGGGGAUCGAACAGGAUUAGAUACCCGAGUCGUCC